UCCACGCCGUAAACGAUGUCAACUAGCCGUUGGGUCUAUUUAUAGGCUUAGUGGCGGAGCUAACGUAUUAAGUUGACCGCCUGGGGAGUACGGCCGCAAGGUUAAAACUCAAAUGAAUUGACGGGGGCCCGCACAAGCGGUGGAGCAUGUGGUUUAAUUCGAUGCAACGCGAAGAACCUUACCUAGCAUAGAAAUCAGUUAGAGAAUAGAGUGCCUUCGGGCUUGAGACAGGU
rnacentral:rRNA from 1 species